GGGCCCGCACAAGCGGUGGAGCAUGUGGUUUAAUUCGAUGAUACGCGAGGAACCUUACCAGGGCUUAAAUGGGAGAUGACAGGGGCAGAGACGCCCUUUUCUUCGGACAUCUUUCAAGGUGCUGCAUGGUUGUCGUCAGCUCGUGCCGUGAGGUGUCAGGUUAAGUCCUAUAACGAGCGCAACCCCUACCGUUAGUUGCCAGCGAGUCAUGUCGGGAACUCUAACGGAACUGCCGGUGCAAACCGUGAGGAAGGUGGGGACGACGUCAAAUCAUCACGGCCCUUACGUCCUGGCCACACACGUGCUACAAUGGUAGGUACAGAGGGAAGCCACCCCGCGAGGGGGAGCGGA
rnacentral:rRNA from 1 species